CCUGAAGCAGGCCACUUGGCCUGUCUCCCUAAAUGAGAGUCCGUAUAAUAAAUAUAAGUGGCAUCCGAACGAGAGCGGGCAGGGGCCACGUGAUCGCUCCACGAAAGCCACUUG
rfam:Oryctolagus cuniculus clone LB1-192J7, complete sequence.